GUACUCAAAAGGUGGUGUCCGGCAUGCCUUAUGGCUGCCGUGUCUGAGAUUAUACACAUUGAACCAGUACGGAUAAUGCCGACGCUGGGAUUUUGAUGCAAUUCUUU
rnacentral:ncRNA from 1 species